GUCGAACGAUGAUGGGAGCUUGCUCCUGGAUUAGUGGCGAACGGGUGAGUAACACGUGAGUAACCUGCCCUUAACUCUGGGAUAAGCCUGGGAAACUGGGUCUAAUACCGGAUAUGACUCCUCAUCGCAUGGUGGGGGGUGGAAAGCUUUUUGUGGUUUUGGAUGGACUCGCGGCCUAUCAGCUUGUUGGUGAGGUAAUGGCUCACCAAGGCGACGACGGGUAGCCGGCCUGAGAGGGUGACCGGCCACACUGGGACUGAGACACGGCCCAGACUCCUACGGGAGGCAGCAGUGGGGAAUAUUGCACAAUGGGCGCAAGCCUGAUGCAGCGACGCCGCGUGAGGGAUGACGGCCUUCGGGUUGUAAACCUCUUUCAGUAGGGAAGAAGCGAAAGUGACGGUACCUGCAGAAGAAGCGCCGGCUAACUACGUGCCAGCAGCCGCGGUAAUACGUAGGGCGCAAGCGUUAUCCGGAAUUAUUGGGCGUAAAGAGCUCGUAGGCGGUUUGUCGCGUCUGCCGUGAAAGUCCGGGGCUCAACUCCGGAUCUGCGGUGGGUACGGGCAGACUAGAGUGAUGUAGGGGAGACUGGAAUUCCUGGUGUAGCGGUGAAAUGCGCAGAUAUCAGGAGGAACACCGAUGGCGAAGGCAGGUCUCUGGGCAUUAACUGACGCUGAGGAGCGAAAGCAUGGGGAGCGAACAGGAUUAGAUACCCUGGUAGUCCAUGCCGUAAACGUUGGGCACUAGGUGUGGGGGACAUUCCACGUUUUCCCGCGCCGUAGCUAACGCAUUAAGU
rnacentral:rRNA from 1 species